UUUCUUAUGCAUCAGUUUUGAAUUUGGUUAGGAGCUCACUAACACUUCUUCUUUCAGAGCGAACGUACUGUUAUUUGACUAACGGACUGGUACCAGUCCGUUCGCUGUGUAAAAGUAAGAAGAAAAUUGUUAGUGAGCUCCUAACCAAAUUCAAAACUGAUGCAU
rnacentral:pre_miRNA from 1 species